AUGCCUCGACUCCGGGCCGCCUGCCCUCUGACUCUGAUCUGCCUUCUGAUGUGGGAAUUCUGGCGCGCUUUUGCGUGCGCGGUGCAGGGCGGCAUGGGGAGCGGCGGCGCCAGGCGGCAUUUCUUCCCGCUUACCAGCUUGCAAAUCGGGGAUUUACAGUCAUAUCUUGCAGAGCUCACUAUAUUUCUGUGCCCCGAUACCAAGAAGUUCCUUAUCUUCCUUGACAACCGUCCAUGGUUGCUAGAUCAGAAUACAAAACCUGCUCACCUGUGGCAAUUGAUGGUUACCAAGUCAAGAUUUUCUCCUUUCGCGAACACUAGAACUAGGAGAAAGAGAGAUGAAGGUGGAAAUAAGCUUGUAUUUUCAGAAUUCCCAACAUCUGCUCCACGUGUGUGGAAUCAAUCAUCCAGAUGGUAUACCCUGAUUGAUGAUACCAUGCGGAAAAAGAAGCUUCAAGUAAAUAAAUUGAAGGAUUCUCGCCUGCUGAAUAGGGAGCUGCAUCGGACAUUGUAUGGUUUUAUUAUUUUUGAGGUAGACUGGGCUGACGUGCGUGGCAUUAAUUAUUUAAAUGAGCUUCAGACUGAUACAUCAAUGGUGGCCGAAGCAAAAAUAAUGAAGAGAUGGGAAUUUGAUAGCGUCAAUCAAGCUUCAUCUUUAAUCACUUCUUGGUUCUCGGGGAAUUACUCAGAGUGUCAGCUCUUACAAGAUUAUUUAAAUAGCAUCUCUCCUAAAGGUGAUGUUUUUUAUGAUGCCCUAGAUGACUUAACACCUGAAUUAUGGGAUACUGAGAGUGUAAAGAGCGAUGGUGAUGAUUGUGGGGAUUGUGUUAGGGUGUCGUCAAGUUCCACAAGCUCAUCAUACACCCCGCCACCUUGCUCUGGACCUUACAAGAGAAGAAGGAUAACAAGAUCUGAUGCUGGAAGUGAUAUGUCAGAGGAACCAUACUCAGAAUUUGUGACUUCACCAAGAUAUUCAUCAUAUUCAUCUUCAUCAUGUUGCAGUGAUAAUGACAGUGGCAAGCCACUGGUGGAGCCUAGCAUAUACAAGGAUGUGCUGAUCUUGUUCCGAUUCAAUGAUCAUGAUCUGCCGUUCAGACUAAAGGAAGUUAUACUGUCUGAUGUGAGGCUCUUAACACUACUUGAGUAUGGUCUUCCUUCAUGGGUCAUUUUUCUUCAGUCAUAUCCAGUGGUCUGCAAGAUAUAUCGCCCAUGGAUGUGUCCUCUAGCCAGAGCACUAUACGUCUUGAUGUCAUUAAUUACUGUUCUUAUAGGAUUUUAUGACCUCUACAAGAAUGUACCAAUGUUGAAGGCAACUGCCUCUAGAUUAUUUGGCCCUUUGUUUGAUUGGAUAGAGACAUGGGAAAUGAUCUCAAGGCUUAAGUAUCUUGGAACCAUGCUUUUUCUGAACAAUUUCCAGCAGGCUUUUACAUGGUCUCUUAAGAUUGUACGUGCUACUAAGUCUGUUCUUAGUGUAUUGACAAAGCCAAUUAUGGGGCCACUGUUGGAGGUUCUUGAAUUUACCCUGCCACUAUGGAACCUUUGUGCUGAAACGGUUGAAUAUCUCAGUUCAGCUGCAAUGGUAGCGAUGGAAACAUCAUUCAGUGCGGUUGUCAGUACAGUUCAGAUGAUCAUGUGGCCAUUUUGGUUUAUCUUCAGUACGAUGUUUAAUAUAGCCAAUUCAAUCUUAUACCCUGUAAUUUGGUUCGUCGGAGAGAUACUAGCCGCACCUUUCCGACUUGUCGUUGCGCUAGCAAGUUUUGUAGCAGACUUCUUCGAUGAUAUUUUUGAUGUUUUGAGGCAGACCUGGUCAACAUUAAGUUCGUUGUAUCAAGUUGGUUCUGCAUCCAGAGCACCUGCGCUUACAUCGGAAACUACCAUUUGGGGAUCACUCUGGAAAGAUCUUCUGUACCAGAUUUUCCGUGCAGUCCGUAGCAUUUUGUACGGUUUUGUUGCCUUCUUUUCAACGUGCAAUAGGCACCGGCUCAGCAUAUACAAUCACAUAGAAGUUCUUCUCCGGCGCCUGUCCCGCGCCUUAAAUGGCACGCGACAUACCUCCUCUUGUGAAGGAGCUCAGAAGUAUACUAGUCAAGAUCAUCCUCAAAGGAAAACCAAGACGAGAUGA
rnacentral:rRNA from 1 species